rnacentral:rRNA from 1 species
GCGGACGGGUUAGUAACGCGUGGGAAUAUGCCCAGAUCUGCGGAAUAGCCUCUGGAAACGGAGAGUAAUACCGCAUACGCCCUUCGGGGGAAAGAUUUAUCGGAUUUGGAUUAGCCCGCGUUGGAUUAGGUAGUUGGUGGGGUAAUGGCCUACCAAGCCGACGAUCCGUAGCUGGUUUGAGAGGAUGAUCAGCAACACUGGGACUGAGACACGGCCCAGACUCCUACGGGAGGCAGCAGUGGGGAAUCUUAGACGAUGGGGGAAACCCUGAUCUAGCCAUGCCGCGUGAGUGACGAAGGCCCUAGGGUCGUAAAGCUCUUUCAGCUGUGAAGAUAAUGACGGUAGCAGCAGAAGAAACCCCGGCUAACUCCGUGCCAGCAGCCGCGGUAAUACGGAGGGGGUUAGCGUUGUUCGGAAUUACUGGGCGUAAAGCGCGCGUAGGCGGACUAUUAAGUCGAGGGUGAAAUCCCGGGGCUCAACCCCGGAACUGCCUUCGAUACUGGUAGUCUUGAGUUCGAGAGAGGUGAGUGGAAUUCCGAGUGUAGAGGUGAAAUUCGUAGAUAUUCGGAGGAACACCAGUGGCGAAGGCGGCUCACUGGCUCGAUACUGACGCUGAGGUGC